rnacentral:sRNA from 1 species
GAAGAAGAAAGAAGACG